rnacentral:rRNA from 1 species
ACUAACAGGAUUCCCCUAGUAACUGCGAGUGAAGCGGGAAAAGCUCAAAUUUAAAAUCUGGCAGCUUAGGUUGUCCGAGUUGUAAUCUGGAGAAGCGUUUUCCGUGCCGGACCGUGUACAAGUCUCUUGGAACAGAGCGUCAUAGAGGGUGAGAAUCCCGUCCAUGACACGGACCGCCGGUGCUAUGUGAUACGCUCUCGAAGAGUCGAGUUGUUUGGGAAUGCAGCUCAAAAUGGGUGGUAAAUUCCAUCUAAAGCUAAAUAUUGGCGAGAGACCGAUAGCGAACAAGUACCGUGAGGGAAAGAUGAAAAGCACUUUGGAAAGAGAGUUAAACAGUACGUGAAAUUGUUGAAAGGGAAACGCUUGAAGUCAGUCGCGUUGUGCGGAGCUCAGCCCUGCUCUUUUGCUGGGUGUACUCUCCGUAUCGACGGGUCAACGUCAAUUUUGACCGGCAGAAAAGGGCCGCUUGAAUGUAGCGUCGUUUCGGCGACGUGUUAUAGCUUUCGGUCGUAUGUGUCGGUUGGGAUUGAGGACCGCAGCACGCCCUUGUGGCCGGGGGUUUACCCUACGUUUCGUGCUUAGGAUGUUGGCAAAAUGGCUUUAAGCGACCCGUCUUGAAACACGGACCAAGGAGUCUAACAUGCUUGCGAGUGUUAGGGUGGAAAACCCUUGCGCGUAAUGAAAGUGAAAGUUGAGAACCUCCGCAAGGGGGUGCACCGACGCCCGGCCCUGAAGUUCUCUGACGGUGCUGAGGUUGAGCACGUAUGUUGGGACCCGAAAGAUGGUGAACUAUGCCUGAAUAGGGUGAAGCCAGAGGAAACUCUGGUGGAGGCUCGUAGCGAUUCUGACGUGCAAAUCGAUCGUCAAAUUUGGGUAUAGGGGCGAAAGACUAAUCGAACCAUCUAGUAGCUGGUUCC